rnacentral:rRNA from 1 species
UGGUGGAGUGAUUUGUCUGGUUAAUUCCGUUAACGAACGAGACCUCAGCCUGCUAACUAGUUACGUUGGUCGUCUACUCGAGUGAACGGUCUGACGAGGCAGGGUUUACUCCUUGUCGCGUCGGGUUGGGAUCUUUGAUGUGCCGACGGAAAUACUUCUUAGAGGGACUAUUCGUAUCUAGCGAAUGGAAGUUUGAGGCAAUAACA